rnacentral:rRNA from 1 species
GACGAACGCUGGCGGCGUGCUUAACACAUGCAAGUCGAACGAAGCGCUUUUAUUUGAUUUCUUCGGAAUGAAGAUUUUAGUGACUGAGUGGCGGACGGGUGAGUAACGCGUGGGUAACCUGCCUCAUACAGGGGGAUAACAGUUAGAAAUGACUGCUAAUACCGCAUAAGACCACAGUACCGCAUGGUACAGGGGUAAAAACUCCGGUGGUAUGAGAUGGACCCGCGUCUGAUUAGGUAGUUGGUGGGGUAACGGCCUACCAAGCCGACGAUCAGUAGCCGACCUGAGAGGGUGACCGGCCACGAUUGGGACUGAGACACGGCCCAAACUCCUACGGGAGGCAGCAGUGGGGAAUAUUGCACAAUGGGGGAAACCCUGAUGCAGCGACGCCGCGUGAGCGAUGAAGUAUUUCGGUAAUGUAAAGCUCUAUCAGCAGGGAAGAAAAUGACGGUACCUGACUAAGAAGCACGGCUAAAUCGUGCCAGCAGCCGCGGUAAUCAUA